GUGAGGAAUAUUGCGCAAUGGAGGCAACUCUGACGCAGCCAUGCCGCGUGCAGGAAGAAGGCGCUACGUGUUGUAAACUGCUUUUAACCGGGCAGAAACCCCAGGACGUGUCCUGGGUUGACGGUACCGGAGGAAUAAGCACCGGCUAACUUCGUGCCAGCAGCCGCGGUAAUACGAAGGGUGCAAGCUUUAUCCGGAUUCAUUGGGUUUAAAGGGUGCGCAGUCGGAGCGUUAAGUCAGUGGUGAAAUCCUGCAGCUUAACUGUAGACUUGCCAUUGAUACUGGCGCUCUUGAGUGCGCUUGAAGUGGGCGGAAUGUGCCGUGUAGCGGUGAAAUGCUUAGAUAUGGCACAGAACACCAAUUGCGAAGGCAGCUCACUAAGGCGAUACUGACGCUGAGGCACGAAAGCGUGGUGAUCGAACAGGAUUAGAAACCCGGGUAGUCC
rnacentral:rRNA from 1 species